rnacentral:ribozyme from 1 species
ACUGCAUGGGACAAGUAGUGUGGCCUUUCUUUAUCCUGCCGUGGGAACCAACAGUAAGCUAACGCUCACUGCCCAUGCAGAUUCCAGUGCUGAGGACAGCGCCACCACCAAGAUCCCUCCGAAUCUUCCCCUGUCAAAUUAUGGACAAGCCAGUGAGACUGCUUUCAUGAGGACCUUGCAGGAAUUGCCUCUUUCCAACCUUGGCACCCAGGUCGAUGCAUUUGUGAUGAGGAUGGAAGAAGACAUUAGUAGCCA